rnacentral:snRNA from 1 species
GGAUGUGAGGGCAAUCUGGCUGUGAUAUCUGUCACCUCAUUGAUCUCCAGGGUUGAUUAGGCUGAUCUGGCUGGCUAUAAAGGUGUCUUCUUCCUCCCUCCAUGUGCGUCCCUCCGGAAGCUGCUGCACCUUCCUGGAAGAGACAGACCGAUCUUCCAUCCAGGCCUGCUAGAACCUCCAAAUAAGCUCUUAAGUGUUCUUUAACAUUACAUAAUCAGAAUUAUCAUAAAUGCAAGUGAAAAGUGAAGGCUGGAACUCUUCAAACUAUUAUCAUAAGCUGCCCCCAACACUUUUUUUUU